rnacentral:rRNA from 1 species
GCGGCGGACGGGUGAGUAACACGUGGGCAACCUGCCUGUAAGACUGGGAUAACUUCGGGAAACCGGAGCUAAUACCGGAUAAUUCAUCCCCUCGCAUGAGGGGNUGCUGAAAGUCGGUUCACGCUGACACUUACAGAUGGGCCCGCGGCGCAUUAGCUAGUUGGUGAGGUAAUGGCUCACCAAGGCGACGAUGCGUAGCCGACCUGAGAGGGUGAUCGGCCACACUGGGACUGAGACACGGCCCAUACUCCUACGGGAGGCAGCAGUAGGGAAUCUUCCACAAUGGACGAAAGUCUGAUGGAGCAACGCCGCGUGAGCGAUGAAGGCCUUCGGGUCGUAAAGCYCUGUUGUUAGGGAAGAACAAGUACCGCAGUAAUAACUGACGCUGGGGCGCGAAAGCCUGGGGAGCAAACAGGAUUAGAUACCCUGGUAGUCCACGCCGUAAACGAUGAGUGCUAAGUGUUAGAGGGUUGCCGCCCUUUAGUGCUGUAGCUAACGCAUUAAGCACUCCGCCUGGGGAGUACGGCCGCAAGGCUGAAACUCAAAGGAAUUGACGGGGGCCCGCACAAGCGGUGGAGCAUGUGGUUUAAUUCGAAGCAACGCGAAGAACCUUACCAGGUCUUGACAUCCUUUGACCACCCUAGAGAUAGGGAUUUCCCCUUCGGGGGACGGAAGUGACAGGUGGUGCAUGGUUGUCGUCAGCUCGUGUCGUGAGAUGUUGGGUUAAGUCCCGCAACGAGCGCAACCCUUGCUCUUAGUUGCCAGCAUUCAGUUGGGCACUCUAGAGUGACUGCCGGCUACAAACCGGAGGAAGGUGGGGAUGACGUCAAAUCAUCAUGCCCCUUAUGACCUGGGCUACACACGUGCUACAAUGGAUGGUACAAAGGGCUGCGAAACCGCGAGGGGGAGCGAAUCCCAUAAAACCAUUCUCAGUUCGGAUUGCAGGCUGCAACUCGCCUGCAUGAAGCCGGAAUCGCUAGUAAUCGCGGAUCAGCAUGCCGCGGUGAAUACGUUCCCGGGCCUUGUACACCCCGCCCGUCACACCACGAGAGUUUNCAACAGGCGAAGUCCGCCGAGUAACCUUUAUCGAGCCAG